rnacentral:lncRNA from 1 species
AGACUAUGGCGGCUUUCCAGCUCCAGUUUCAGUUUCUCCAGCCUGGAGAUGAGCUCGGCGGCGAAGGCAGCAGGUUCCACAGGCGUCAUCUCCUUGGGCAGGCGAAAAUGAAGAAAGCUGCUGCGGGCUAGUAGCAGAACACUGCUGAGCUCGGCUGCCUGAAGCCGAUCUAUCAAGGGAAAACGGAACAUCUCCAAACCAAAAUUUUUCCAUUCUUUGAUUCAGGAACUAUCAAACGUCACUCCAUUACCACCACAUAAAAAAGAACCAUUUAAUUUCCUCAGUCUGGCCAUUCCUUUCUGUUCCUUCACUACAGAUCUCAGGCAUUGCCCCCCCAACCGCCCCCCCAGCUCCUGUAAUAAUUUAGGGCCUCACUACCCGUGUCCUGGUGUCCUGUCGUCUAUACUCACCGGAAAAUGAGGUAGAGACACUUGGCCAUUGGCCUUCACACUGCGAUGCAUCUCUCUCUGGAGCUGUUUCUUACUCCCCAUGCGGUAAGGAGGGAUUCCAUCUCU